rnacentral:rRNA from 1 species
AACCCUGACGCAGCAACGCCGCGUGGGUGAUGAAGGUCUUCGGAUUGUAAAGCCCUGUUUUCUAGGACGAUAAUGACGGUACUAGAGGAGGAAGCCACGGCUAACUACGUGCCAGCAGCCGCGGUAAUACGUAGGUGGCGAGCGUUGUCCGGAUUUACUGGGCGUAAAGGGUGCGUAGGCGGAUGUUUAAGUGGGAUGUGAAAUCCCCGGGCUUAACCUGGGGGCUGCAUUCCAAACUGGAUAUCUAGAGUGCAGGAGAGGAAAGCGGAAUUCCUAGUGUAGCGGUGAAAUGCGUAGAGAUUAGGAAGAACACCAGUGGCGAAGGCGGCUUUCUGGACUGUAACUGACGCUGAGGCACGAAAGCGUGGGUAGCAAACAGGAUUAGAUACCCUGGUAGUCCACGCCGUAAACGAUGGAUACUAGGUGUAGGGGGUAUCAACUCCCCCUGUGCCGCAGUUAACACAAUAAGUAUCCCGCCUGGGGAGUACGGUCGCAAGAUUAAAACUCAAAGGAAUUGACGGGGGCCCGCACAAGCAGCGGAGCAUGUGGUUUAAUUCGAAGCAACGCGAAGAACCUUACCUGGACUUGACAUCCCUUGCAUAGCCUAGAGAUAGGUGAAGCCCUUCGGGGCAAGGAGACAGGUGGUGCAUGGUUGUCGUCAGCUCGU